rnacentral:rRNA from 1 species
UGGGGAAUUUUGGACAAUGGGCGAAAGCCUGAUCCAGCAAUGCCGCGUGUGUGAAGAAGGCCUUCGGGUUGUAAAGCACUUUUGUCCGGAAAGAAAUCCUUGGCUCUAAUACAGUCGGGGGAUGACGGUACCGGAAGAAUAAGCACCGGCUAACUACGUGCCAGCAGCCGCGGUAAUACGUAGGGUGCAAGCGUUAAUCGGAAUUACUGGGCGUAAAGCGUGCGCAGGCGGUUUGCUAAGACCGAUGUGAAAUCCCCGGGCUCAACCUGGGAACUGCAUUGGUGACUGGCAGGCUAGAGUAUGGCAGAGGGGGGUAGAAUUCCACGUGUAGCAGUGAAAUGCGUAGAGAUGUGGAGGAAUACCGAUGGCGAAGGCAGCCCCCUGGGCCAAUACUGACGCUCAUGCACGAAAGCGUGGGGAGCAAACAGGAUUAGAUACCCUGGUAGUCCACGCCCUAAACGAUGUCAACUAGUUGUUGGGGAUUCAUUUCCUUAGUAACGUAGCUAACGCGUGAAGUUGACCGCCUGGGGAGUACGGUCGCAAGAUUAAAACUCAAAUGAAUUGACGGGGUCAAGCUGUUUCCU